GACGAACGCUGGCGGCGUGCUUAACACAUGCAAGUCGAACGGAAAGGCCCUGCUUUUGUGGGGUGCUCGUGUGGCGAACGGGUGAGUAACACGUGAGUAACCUGCCCUUGACUUUGGGAUAACUUCAGGAAACUGGGGCUAAUACCGGAUAGGAGCUCCUGCUGCAUGGUGGGGGUUGGAAAGUUUCGGCGGUUGGGGAUGGACUCGCGGCUUAUCAGCUUGUUGGUGGGGUAGUGGCUUACCAAGGCUUUGACGGGUAGCCGGCCUGAGAGGGUGACCGGCCACAUUGGGACUGAGAUACGGCCCAGACUCCUACGGGAGGCAGCAGUGGGGAAUAUUGCACAAUGGGCGGAAGCCUGAUGCAGCAACGCCGCGUGCGGGAUGACGGCCUUCGGGUUGUAAACCGCUUUCGCCUGUGACGAAGCGUGAGUGACGGUAAUGGGUAAAGAAGCACCGGCUAACUACGUGCCAGCAGCCGCGGUGAUACGUAGGGUGCGAGCGUUGUCCGGAUUUAUUGGGCGUAAAGGGCUCGUAGGUGGUUGAUCGCGUCGGAAGUGUAAUCUUGGGGCUUAACCCUGAGCGUGCCUUCGAUACGGGUUGACUUGAGGAAGGUAGGGGAGAAUGGAAUUCCUGGUGGAGCGGUGGAAUGCGCAGAUAUCAGGAGGAAUACCAGUGGCGAAGGCGGUUCUCUGGGCCUUUCCUGACGCUGAGGAGCGAAAGCGUGGGGAGCGAACAGGCUUAGAUACCCUGGUAGUCCACGCUGUAAACGGUGGGUACUAGGUGUGGGGUCCAUUCCACGGGUUCCGUGCCGUAGCUAACGCUUUAAGUACCCCGCCUGGGGAGUACGGCCGCAAGGCUAAAACUCAAAGGAAUUGACGGGGCCCCGCACAAGCGGCGGAGCAUGCGGAUUAAUUCGAUGCAACGCGUAGAACCUUACCUGGGUUUGACAUGGAUCGGGAGCGCUCAGAGAUGGGUGUGCCUCUUUUGGGGUCGGUUCACAGGUGGUGCAUGGCUGUCGUCAGCUCGUGUCGUGAGAUGUUGGGUUAAGUCCCGCAACGAGCGCAACCCUUGUUCACUGUUGCCAGCACGUUAUGGUGGGGACUCAGUGGAGACCGCCGGGGUCAACUCGGAGGAAGGUGGGGAUGACGUCAAGUCAUCAUGCCCCUUAUGUCCAGGGCUUCACGCAUGCUACAAUGGCUGGUACAGAGAGUGGCGAGCCUGUGAGGGUGAGCGAAUCUCGGAAAGCCGGUCUCAGUUCGGAUUGGGGUCUGCAACUCGACCUCAUGAAGUCGGAGUCGCUAGUAAUCGCAGAUCAGCAACGCUGCGGUGAAUACGUUCCCGGGGCU
rnacentral:rRNA from 1 species